CAAACAUGUUUCCUCAUGGAUUGCU
rnacentral:piRNA from 1 species